GGCUAUAUCAGUAUUUUUGGUUCUAACUUCCUGGGGAUGAAUACAUGUGUUGAAUCAGGUUGAAACAGAUGUGAUUCCUGUGUGCUUGUCAAUUACAAUGAAAACAGCAGAACAUCUCAAAGAAGACAGAAGGAUACCUGAGACAGAAAAACACACCGAGACAGAGAGAAGAAUCUUCCAUUUGAUGGUUUACUCCCCAAAUACUUGCAGCAGUUGUGGCUGGACAAGCCAAGGCUAGGGGCCUGGAACUCCAUCCCUUGUGGUCUCAAGUACUUGAGCUCUUGUCUUCUGCCUUCCAGGUGAACACUGGCAGGAAGCUAGAUCAUAAGUACAGUUGGGACUCAAAUGCAGGCAUUCUGAGCAGCAUCUUAACCCCAAAUGCCCAGCUUAACUUUCAAGAGUUUCACAUGUUUGUGAGGAGUCCAUAACUCAACAGAUGGUCUCCAUGAAGACUGAAUGACAAAAACGUGAAGAACAAGAAUCAAAGGACCUACUGAGUAAACCACAGACUGAAAACAACGUAUGGAAACUGAGGGUCAUGCUAAGUGGUUGGGCAUCUUCGGUUCAGCGUGAGAGAAUGACCAAAAGGAAGGGAUUGGUAGAGAAAAAUAAAAAUGGAGACCACAGUCAUAUCUGUGGUUUCUGCAUCCACAAAUUCAACAAGCUGCAGAUUGAAAAUACUUGGAAAAAAAAUUGCAUCUACACUGAACAUGUAUAGUUUUGUCAUUAUUCUCUAUGUAAUAUAUAGUAUCACAAAAAUG